rnacentral:misc_RNA from 1 species
AAGUCGUAACAAGGUUUCCGUAGGUGAACCUGCGGAAGGAUCAUUACAAAUCCACCACGUCUCCCCUUUCGAGACCUCGUUGAACGUGUCACACACAGGAAGAGCGAGCAGGGGAAGAGAGAGAAAGAGAGGGCUGCCUGCGUAUGCGCGCGCAUGCCCUCUUGCUCCUGCUCCUGCUCCUCCCUCUUCCUUGAACUUUACUAGUUUGAUAUCAUGUUGGUUGUCAGUAGUGUGUUAUACUCUUCUUCUUCUCCUCCCCUUUUUCCUUUUUCUCCUCCUUCUUCUUCUUCUUCUUCUUCUUCUUGGCUUGCCUGACAAGCCAAGCAAGCAGCGAGAAUGAAAGAGAGAGAGAGAGAGAGACAGAGACAGAGAGAGAGAGAGAGAGAAAGAGUGUGUACCAUGUAACAACUUAUAACAAUGGAUCUCUAGGCUCUU